AAUGAACGCUGGCGGCAUGCCUAACACAUGCAAGUCGAACGAAGGCUUCGGCCUUAGUGGCGCACGGGUGCGUAACGCGUGGGAAUCUGCCCUCAGGUUCGGAAUAACAGCGAGAAAUUGCUGCUAAUACCGGAUGAUAUCGCGAGUUCAAAGAUUUAUCGCCGGAGGAUGAGCCCGCGUAGGAUGAGCUAGUUGGUGUGGUAAAGGCGCACCACGGCGACGAUCCUUAGCUGGUCUGAGAGGCUGAUAAGCCACACUGGGCCUGAGACACGGCCCAGACUCCUACGGGAGGCAGCAAUGGUGAAUAUUGGACAAUGGGCGAAGGCCUGAUCCAGCUAUGCCGCGUGAGUGAUGAAGGCCGUAGGGUUGUAAAGCUCUUUUACCCGGGAUGAUAAUGACAGUACCGGGAGAAUAAGCUCCGGCUAACUCCGUGCCAGCCGCCGCCGUAA
rnacentral:rRNA from 1 species